ACACUCCUACGGGAGGCAGCAGUGGGGAAUUUUGGACAAUGGGCGAAAGCCUGAUCCAGCAAUGCCGCGUGCAGGAUGAAGGCCUUCGGGUUGUAAACUGCUUUUGUACGGAACGAAAAAGCUCCUUCUAAUACAGGGGGCCCAUGACGGUACCGUAAGAAUAAGCACCGGCUAACUACGUGCCAGCAGCCGCGGUAAUACGUAGGGUGCGAGCGUUAAUCGGAAUUACUGGGCGUAAAGCGUGCGCAGGCGGUUAUGUAAGACAGAUGUGAAAUCCCCGGGCUCAACCUGGGAACUGCAUUUGUGACUGCAUGGCUAGAGUACGGUAGAGGGGGAUGGAAUUCCGCGUGUAGCAGUGAAAUGCGUAGAUAUGCGGAGGAACACCGAUGGCGAAGGCAAUCCCCUGGACCUGUACUGACGCUCAUGCACGAAAGCGUGGGGAGCAAACAGGAUUAGAUACCCCAGUAGUCCCAUGA
rnacentral:rRNA from 1 species